UGUGGGAGCUGGCUUGCCAGCGAUGGCGGUGUGUCAGGCAACAGAGAUUGAAACUGAUCCACCCUCAUCGCUGGCAAGCCAGCUCCCACA
rnacentral:misc_RNA from 1 species